AACAAGUCCCUCCACCCCCGUCUUCUUCCUCCGCCCGUGCGUCGCUAGGGGCCGGCGCCGCCAAGCUGCGUGAUUUGGCGCCCAUCAGGAAGUGCUCCGCCCGUACCUUUGCCGCCGCCGCCGUCGCCAAGUACCUGCUCCGCCACCGCCGCCGUCGCCAAGUACCUGCUCCGCCACCGCCGCCCGAACCUGUGCCGCAGCGAUCCCCUCUCGCCGGAUUACCUGCGGACGUCGCCGGAAUUUCCCACCAUGAUCCGGCGGAGCAGGAGCUCCCUCUCAUCUUCCUCGAGCUACCACGAGUCCUCCUCUAGCUGCCGUGAGUCCACCUUGAGCUGCCUCCCGUGUGCUGCCGCGACCCCUCCCGCCGUGAUCUCCUACGGGCAUCGCUGGAACCGGCCUCCACGAUCCGGUGGACAAGAGCUUGCGCGCGUCCUCCUCUAUCUCCCGCAAGUCCUCGUCGAGCUCCCACCAGCUGCCGUGCUGCUCCUUCUCCUCUGCCCGCGUGCCUGCUGCUGCUCUGUUUCUCCUCUGCUUCUCCCCUGCCGCCGGUGGAGCUAGCCCGUGCUGCUGCUGCUCCUCUGCCCGUGUUGAUGCUGCUGCUCCUCUACCUCUGUUGCUGCUGCUGAUCCAAGUGAACAUGUCGUGUUGCUGCUGCUGCUGGUCCAAGUGACUGCGCUGUGUUGCUGCUGCUGCUAUUUGCACUCUGAAGAAGGUACAGUUGCCUGUAGAUUGAUCUGCUGCUAUGUGCUGCUGCUGCUGCUAUUUGUUCCAUGCUCCAUGGCAUCAGAUGGCAUGGAAAACAAUUUUGUUCCAUGCUCCAUGGCAUCAGAUGGCAUGGAAAACAAUUCAUGUUCUACAGUGCCGUGUUCAACUUGCUCAUCCUCUGAUGAUGACAUCUCUUUCAAUACAUUAUUCACCUCAGGAGCUGCAUGUAAAAUUUAAAAUCAAUAUGGUUUUCUUAUUAAUGUAAAAUCAGCAAAGCUAUCAGCAUGGAACAAAUAAAAGGACUGUGGAUGACAAGAAAUCGCUUCUAUUUAGUUAAGAGGUCCAUUUCAUGCUAUCAAGGACACUUCCAGUUUUUCUUUAGUUUCAUCAAAGGUUCAUCAAUACAGAUGCUAAAAUCUAGCAUAUCACAUGGGAUGGAUCAGCUAAAGUAAGAAAGACCAUCUCAAGAAUAGUCACAAAACAAUUUGCAAGAAAUACUACUGUAUAUUCUAAUUUACUGAAAUGAUUGGCAUAGCAAAAACAGAUAUGCAGUGGACAUGUUUGGUACAGUAAAUAAAUAUGCAGCCAUAGCGUGGAUAGAUUAGAUACAAAGAAUGGAGUAAAGUUUAUCAAAGGAAGAAAAUUGACUUACAGUGCUGAACAUCCAAUAUUUAGUAAAUCAAUUUGGAUGGCGUGCAGAAUUCCUGUGUAUGACACUUAACUUAGCAAAUUCAGUUAAAGAUGCAUUCUAAAGAUGCAUUCAGUUAAAAAUGUCUACUGAAUUUGCUCCAUGUUCUAAACAGAGUACUCCUAUAUUAAUACAUCAAUCUGCCAUAACUACUCCAUGCCAGAACUACUCCAUGAUCUUGAAAUCUUAAGUCCAAGAAAUCUACCAGAACUACUCCAUGAUGAGUACUCCAGGCCAUUGUCUGAGACACAAUUUGAAAUUUGCCAACACAAUUUGUUGUACUGGAUCUACAGUAAAUAAAUUUGAGAACACAUUUUCUUCAGUCCCUCACUGACAACACAAAAAAUUUGGAUGCAUUCAACUUGAACAUGGAGUAUUUUCAGCAAAAAAACUUGAGUAUGGCAGCAUUUUCUACAAAAAACAACUUGAGCAUGAAGUAUAAGGGGUAUUUUCACCAAUUUAGAGAGAGUAUUUGAAAAUUUGGUCACUACAGGACCACUACACUACUCCAGGUCACUACUGUUCAGAAACAAACUUGGAAAGGUAAUAAAUCAGUUUUGAUUCUAUUGACAGGAGCACAUGAAUAAGAACUCUGUCUAAACAUUUAGUUUAUACGUCAACACUGAACUGUCUAAAUACUCCUGUACAGUACUGUGCCAUUCAGUUUAUUGACAGGAGUAUUCAGUAUGCUAUUGACAGGAGCAGUAGUAUCUCAACAAGCAGUACUCGUUGCUAUGGUGCAGCCAUGGAUGCAUGAAACAAGUUUAAAAACAAAUUUAAAUGAUGCUGCGAUUCAAAAAUUAAAUGGAAAAAGCUCAAGAUGAUUAAUCAUGACUACUGUCACAUGACAGAUUACUCCUGUACACUAUUGUGCCAUUUUAUAAGUGCAGACUAGUUCUAUAAGUGCACACUAAUUCUAGAAGUGCAGAUGUUUAGUUGUGACAUUAUACAGGAGGAACAUUCAGUCUAAUUCAGCAGUUGAAAAUGCAGUUGUUUAGUGCAAUUGAAAAUGCAGCAAUUCAGGAAUCACCUGAAUCAAUUCAGACCACUGCAGAAGAUGUCCUUGAACUGCCACUCCUUCCACCUGAAGAUGUUGCCACUCCUUCUAAGCACAAACUUUCAGACCAGAGCACACACAACAAUCCACCAGAAGAUGUCGCCACUCCUCGAACUGCCACCACACGCGCCCAAUCGUCGGCCUUGAGCGAAGCUGCCGAAAAUCGAUCUACUCAGAGGUGACUCUGUGCUCUCAUGGCCAACAAGGGUGAAGAUCCUCAGGGACUGUGCAUCUGUCCUGAGGUUUCUUCACACACACUCCGAUGGAUGCAUUGUACAUAGAGACAUUAUGCUUACCAACAUCUUGCUGACAGAGGACAUGGAGCCUAAGCUGUCUGAUUUUGGGCUAGCAAAAACGCUGCAAAUGGAGGAGACCAAGGUCUUCACAGAUGUGGGGGGAACCAUUGGUUACAUGGAUCCUGAGUACAUAACACACUCCAAGCUUACUUGCGCAAGUGAUAUCUACAGCUUUGGCGUGGUUGUGCUGCAGCUUCUGUCAGGAAGAAAGGUCAUCGAACUUGACAUUGUUCCACGCGAUUCUCUCACCAAGAAGGUAAAUUCAGGCAUAUAUUUUUCAGAAUCAUAUCCCUGUUACACUGAGCAGGAACUCGGCAAGUCAAUUUCAGAGUUAUUCUCACCAUUGUUACCUGAAGUUUUUGAUGCUCCUAAUUUGGUCUCGGUUCUUGUCUCAAGGCCAAAGAUGCAUCGCCCCUCGGCCUCUCCCCGGAGGCAGAGCUCGCGCCGCCGCUCCAGUCACUGGCUGCGCCGCCGGCUUGUCCCUAUCCUCGAACGCCUGUAGAAAUCUAGGAUGAUGAAGAAGAAAUUGGGUGGACAUGGCCCGAACAAUCCAAGAAGAUAAAAGAAGAAAUUGCAUGGGUGCAGUAGAUCGAAGGGAGGAGAAGGGGAAAAAGGAGACCUUUGACUCCGGCGGGCUACUUGGUGAGCUCCUCCACCUGCCUCUUUGCAAUCCGCCGAGCAGCCGCCGCGCCAGGAAUGCGAGAAAGGAGGGCGCCCCGCUGCCAUGCCCCGGCGAGGUAAACACAUGGCCGUCGGACA